rnacentral:misc_RNA from 1 species
GAGGUUCAGUCCUCCCAGGCCCACCACUUCCUUUCGAUACGAAGGUUAUCAGGGGCCGUAGCUCAGCUGGGAGAGCGCCUGCUUUGCAAGCAGGAUGUCGUCGGUUCGAUCCCGUCCGGCUCCACCAACCAUCUUCUGCGAAGAUGGGGCGUGUCGAGUAGAGACGGUGAGAAAAAAGUCAUUCGAAAAAGAGUUUGCGUCGAGCCCUGUGCUCUGCGCCUGUUCUGUUUGACAUCGUAAAGAGAAGAUUUGUUCGAACUUCAUGAGCCGCAAGGUCUCAUGAUUUGUCGCUGGAGACGCUCAAUCUCCAGCAUAUGAUGGGUUUGCCUAACCGCGCCCUCGAACGGAUCUCGAGAAGCUGGUCUUUUUGUGCCAAUUCCAUUGAAGCAGAUCCCGCACAGGAUCUGGUUCGAGGCGACGAUCCCUGCGGGAUCGCGCUUAGCCAAUCCCGCAAGGGGUUUGGCUUGAACGACGAUCCCUUCGGGAUCGCGUGAUGGGUAUUGGCAAUGAGAACGAUCAAGUGUCUUAAGGGCAAUUGGUGGAUGCCUUGGCAUGCACAGGCGAUGAAGGACGUGAUACGCUGCGAUAAGCUACGGGGAGGUGCGAAUACCCUUUGAUCCGUAGAUCUCCGAAGG